AUAGAAAAUAGUGGGCCAUUUGGAUUCCCUAUAUAGAGAAUAGAGGGCCAUUUGGAUUCCCUAUAUAGAGAAUAGAGGGCCAUUUGGAUUCCCUAUAUAGAGAAUAGAGGGCCAUUUGGAUUCCCUAUAUAGAGAAUAGAGGGCCAUUUGGAUUCCCUAUAUAGAGAAUAGUGGGCCAUUUGGAUUCCCUAUAUAGAGAAUAGUGGGCCAUUUGGAUUCCCUAUAUAGAGAAUAGAGGGCCAUUUGGAUUCCCUAUAGAGAAUAGUGGGCCAUUUGGAUUCCCUAUAUAGAGAAUAGUGGGCCAUUUGGAUUCCCUAUAUAGAGAAUAGUGGGCCAUUUGGAUUCCCUAUAUAGAGAAUAGAGGGCCAUUUGGAUUCCCUAUAGAGAAUAAAUAGAGGGCCAUUUGGAUUCCCUAUAGAGAGAAUAGAGGGCCAUUUGGAUUCCCUAUAUAGAGAAUAGUGGGCCAUUUGGAUUCCCUAUAGAGAAUAGUGGGCCAUUUGGAUUCCCUAUAUAGAGAAUAGUGGGCCAUUUGGAUUCCCUAUAUAGAGAAUAGUGGGCCAUUUGGAUUCCCUAUAUAGAGAAUAGUGGGCCAUUUGGAUUCCCUAUAUAGAGAGAAUAGUGGGCCAGUGUUUCUGGGUCAUUUAAUAAUUGAGAUGAGAUAGUGCACUACAUAGGGAUUAGGAUAUAAUUUGGGCUUCACACAAUCACUUUUUAAAAUCGGAGCAUCACCCAUUCUUCAGAUUACGUUCCAAAUUAGAUCACUUUUCAUCUCAUUUAUAAACGGACAGAUAUCACUUCUGAUCUAAUGUAUAAACGGCCCAGAUAUCACAUCUGAUCUAAUGUAUAAACGGCCCAGAUAUCAAACCCCAAUAUCCAGGUCAAUACUCUUUCUGAUCUAAUGUAUAAACGGCCCAGAUAUCACAUCUGAUCUAAUGUAUAAACGGCCCAGAUAUCCCUUCUGAUCUAAUGUAUAAACGGCCCAGAUAUCACUUCUGUUCCAAUGUAUAAACGGCCCAGAUAUUAAACCCCAAUAUUCAGUUCAAUACUCUUUCUGAUCUAAUGUAUAAACGGCCCAGAUAUCACUUCUGAUCCAAUGUAUAAACUGCCCAGAUAUCAAACCCCAAUAUCCAGGUCAAUACUCUUUCUGAUCUAAUGUAUAAACGGCCCAGAUAUCACAUCUGAUGUAAUGUAUAAACGGGCCAGAUAUCACUUCUGAUCUAAUGUAUAAACGGCCCAGAAAUCCCUUCUGUUCCAAUGUAUAAACGGGCCAGAAAUCAAACCCUGAUAUCAAGGUCAAUACUGUUCCGAUUAACUGGUCUAUAUUAAAAUGUACAUAACCCCACACAUUCACCAUUACAGAAACAUCACGUUAAGAUUAUAUUAUAUACACUUAGUUUGAUUAUGGUUUUAUAAAAUGUAGAACUGUGUUAAUGUAUUUUAAAAGUCAACAUUUAAUAUCUACAUUUAAUCUAAUUUAAAUGAACUCUUGCUCCUGUCAUCGUUUGUAAAAUCCUGAUAAAGUUUCAUUCAAAAACACAAAUAUUGUACAAAACUGGCAACAGUGAAGACAUAAAAAGGAGGUUAAGACGUUUUCUUUGGCAGCUAUUAAAAUAAUUAAAAUAUGAGAGAGAGAGAGAGAGAGAGAGAGAGAGAGAGAGAGAGAGAGAGAGAGAGAGACAGAGAGAGAGACAGAGAGAGAGAGACAGAGACAGAGAGACACAGAGACAGAGAGAGAGAGAGAGAGACAGAUAGAGACAGAGACAGAGACAGAGACAGAGAGAGAGAGAGAGAGACAGAGAGAGAGACAGAGAGAGAGACAGAGACAGAGAGAGAGAGAGAGAGAGAGAGAGAGAGAGAGAGAGAGAGAGGAGUGUGUUUCUUGUGUAUGUGAGAGAGGAAGUGGUAGAGGUAGAUUCCAGGGGAGGAGAGAUUAGUGUCUUGAUAAGGACAGUCAGUCACAUGACCAGCUUCAUCUCAGUUCAGACACACCAACAUCAGACCUGGCUUAGGCUCAGUAAA
rnacentral:lncRNA from 1 species